CAACACAUAACUUAGAAGGAAGAAAUGGCUCAAAAAAUGGCAUAGAUGGGGUUCGUUCGUUCGUUGAUGAAAGUAGGAGGAUGAAUUCGACACGAUGCUUGUCGAGUAAACAAUCCUCUACUGUAAUUACAGUUUUUGCUCUCGUUGUCUCUUCGACCUUAAAUUUUUCUUUUUAUGAACUCAUUCAUUUUUUGUUGUCUUCUUUUUUCAAAUAAGGGUUCGGUAAGGAAAACAGGGAGAUGAAUUCGAUGCGAUGCUUGUCAAGUAAAGAGCCUUCUGCUAUAAAUCACAACCUUUGCUCUCGUUGUCUGUUCGACCUUGAACUUUUCUUUUUCCAAACCGAUUUCAUUUUUCGCAUCCUUCUACAUUUUCAAAAUAUAUAGAGUUUUUUUUUUUUAAAAAAAAACCCUUAAAUUUGAAUGGAUUUAUUGGUAGGUAGCACCCAAAAGCACCAUUUUGGUAGGUAAAUAACAUCGUGUACUUUAUAUAUAUAUAUAUAUAUAUAUAUAUAUUUUUUUUUUUACAAAAGAAAAAAAAACUCUUCGAUUAAUCGAGGUUAUUAUUGACUUUUCACGACUCAAAAGUAUAGAUGUACUUAUUUAAUAAAUUUUGGAUUAAGAACUAUAGUAAAAACUUUUAUUUACUAUUGUGUAAAAAAAGUUUUCUCUUCCGACCAGGUGGUGAAAAUGGAAAAUAAAAUCUGAAUAAUAAUUAUUUAUUUUUUAAUUAAGUUUAGUAUCUUUGCUUUUGUUAAUUAGUCUUCAAAAAUAUUUUCAAAUAAAAAAGAUAUUAUUUUAUUUAAAUUUGGGUAGAGAUGUAAAUGUUUCUUAAGAAUUAAAAAAAAAAAAAUAGAAAACUAAAAAUAAAAUUAUUUCUAAAUGUUAGCUUAAAAGGAUAUUAAGAAGUUUUCUAAAUUUAAGUAGAAAUUAAACGAAUAGAUUUUUUUUUUUUUAGAAAGACUUAUUUUCUUUUAGUAAGUAUUUAGUAAUUUUUUUAUUGCUAUAAAUUCGAAUAUAAAUAGGUUGUGUUUGGACAAAUUGAAAUACUGAGGCCGAACAAACAACAGACACGAGGGAUUAGCAGAAGACUGUUUAUUUGACAACGGAUUUGCAUGGAAUUCAACGCUUCUCAUUGGUCAACAUUUCAAAAUCGUCCAAAGUUUCCAAAAAUUAGUUAGCUAUUACGAUGUAACGAUCCAUCCUUUCAUACAUGAAUAAAUGAGUUAUUAUAAAA